GCCAGCAGCCAUAUCACCCUGCUGAAGCUCAGCAGGUGUGAGUCUGGUCAGUACCUGGGUGGGAGACCUCCUGGGAAAACUAAGGUUGCUGCUGGAA
rnacentral:rRNA from 1 species